UAAAUAUAACUUUUGCCUUUAAGCUACUGAUUAUUUCUAAGAAUCUUGAGAUUUUGUUUUGCUUAUCAACUUUUGAAGGUCAGACUGGAUUUGUUUACUAUAAAACCAACGUUUCUGUCUGAACUGUUAGUUAAUCAUGUACAUUUUUGUUUGCUUGGUUAUCUUGUUCACGUUUAUUUAAAAUCCCCUGGCAUCUUCACCUUGUUUUCAUGAAGGACAGUGGAACACUGGACUCAGUAUUGUGAAACUAAAGUAAUUUAGUGGUAAGAUGAUGAUCAAUGUAUAAAGAACACUGUCUUGUGCAGUUUUAUCAAACAUAAUUUUAUAUAGCUCUCUAGCAAAUGCUGAGAAAUGUAUUACAAUAUAUGCAAAAUAAAAGUUUUGCUGAUAAAAGUCAUGCAAAAACUUGAAUAGUCCAAACUUAAAGUUCAGUGCUGACAGGAAACAUUAACCCUGAGCUCCCCUCUUUUGGUUCCACUCCUUCAGCAGGCGUCUUCUACAAAAAAGUCUAGAGGCAUCCAUUUAUAGGCCUUUUUUAUGCACCUCUCAUUCCACACAGCAUAGGCAACAUUGGAGUUGAAUCCAGAACCCUUUCUCUUCAUUAACUAAGAGGGAUCUUCCAGCCCAGACUGACAAAUUCUCCUCAAAAAGUGCUAACAAACAAAAAUGAUAACCCAAGUCUCAGGCUGCGUUCACACUGCAGCACCAAGUGACCCAAUUCCGAUUUUUCUUUCGUGUUUUUCUUUUCUUCUUGCCUUAUGCAACUUGUAUCUGAUCUUGUUAUGACAAAGGUCCGAUUUUUUUCGAAUGUGACCCAGACCACUUGGAUAUCCGAUGCGUAUCUGAUCUUUUCAAAUGUGACAUGAAUCCUAAAAUGUUAUUUAUACUCGACAAAUGUCACUAUUCUGUGCCCUGAUACGCACAAGCGAGAAGAAAAACAACAACUAUGGUGGACUAUAGUGAGGAUUAAGUUGUUAAUGUGCUGGUUCCGGUCAGACAACAACUUCAAAAUCGCAAGAUGUUCUCCAUCGUUAGCAUCCAUGAGCACCAAACACUGAGCACUUCUUCUUCUUCUUUAUGGUAAUUGGCAAAACACUGAACAUGCUCUCUAUUAUUAUAUUGUUAUUGCGCCCUCUACUUCGUAUGUGGGGCACUUUCAGGCCAUUUGGAGUUCACACUACAGAACACAUACAAGUCGUGACCACACCAGAAACAUCCCAUUUGACAAAAAAUUGGGUCACUUCGGGCUGCAGUGUGAAUGUAGCCUUAGACUCUAAGCAGCUCAAACCCACAAUAAUCCCCUUCUAAUGAAAAGUCAAGGACAUAGUAAUAAUAAAUCAUCACUGAUGUAAAAAAUGUUUUAUAAAUGUUACUGGCCACAACAAAACCACAGGAAAUAAAAAAAAAUGACACAACAGCAAUGGCUUCUAUUGGGGUAAAAAUCACAGUGAAAUGUUUUAUUUGAAUAAGCACAUAUUAAAAGAAGAAUGAAUAAUAUUU